UUAGAUCACCGAAGUCAAGCAUCAUUGGGCGCGGUCAGUACUUGGGUGGGCGACCACCUGGGAACACCACGUGCCGUU